UACGUAGGGGGCAAGCGUUGUCCGGAAUCACUGGGCGUAAAGGGCGCGUAGGCGGCUCAUGAAGGCUGUGGUGAAAGUCCGGGGCUCAACCUCGGAUCGGCCGUGGCGACUCGUGGGCUGGAGCACUGUAGAGGCGGGUGGAAUUCCGGGUGUAGCGGUGGAAUGCGCAGAUAUCGGGAGGAACACCGGUGGCGAAGGCGGUUCUCUGGGCCUGUUCUGACGCUGAGGAGCGAAAGCGUGGGGAGCGAACAGG
rnacentral:rRNA from 1 species